rnacentral:rRNA from 1 species
CCUGGCUCCCGAUGACGCUGGCGGUCUGCUUACACAUGCAAGUCGAACGGGCUCUUCGGAGCUAGUGGCGGACGGGUGAGUAACGCGUGAGAAUCUGCCUUCAGGAGGGGGAUAACGACUGGAAACGGUCGCUAAUACCCCAUAUGCCUCCGGGUGAAAAGUAAUUCGCCUGAAGAUGAGCUCGCGUCAGAUUAGCUAGUUGGUGGGGUAAGAGCCUACCAAGGCGACGAUCUGUAGCUGGUCUGAGAGGAUGAUCAGCCACACUGGGACUGAGACACGGCCCAGACUCCUACGGGAGGCAGCAGUGGGGAAUUUUCCGCAAUGGGCGCAAGCCUGACGGAGCAAGACCGCGUGGGGAAUGACGGCCUAAUGGUUGUAAACCCCUUUUCUCUGGGAAGAAGACUGACGGUACCAGAGGAAUCAGCCUCGGCUAACUCCGUGCCAGCAGCCGCGGUAAUACGGAGGAGGCAAGCGUUAUCCGGAAUUAUUGGGCGUAAAGCGUCCGUAGGUGGUUAUUCAAGUCUGCUGUCAAAGCGUGGGGCUUAACUCCAUAGAGGCAGUGGAAACUGAGUGACUAGAGUGCGGUAGGGGUCGAGGGAAUUCCCUGUGUAGCGGUGAAAUGCGUAGAUAUUGGGAAGAACACCAGUGGCGAAAGCGCUCGACUGGGCCUGCACUGACACUGAGGGACGAAAGCUAGGGGAGCGAACGGGAAUAGAUACCCCUGUAGUCCUAGCCGUAAACGAUGGAUACUAGGUGUUGCUCGUCAUCGACCCGAGCCGUGCCGUA